GCCUUAAUUAAAUGGAAUGGGAAAAGAAUAGACAGAAGAUAUCAUUUAUCAAACAGAAUGAUUCAGUAAUAAUAUUUUUGUUACACAUCUGUGACCUGACCACCGACUUUAUUCCACUGCAUCUGUCGAGAAAUUAGUUGUUGAUUCUAUAUAGCAAGUUUGAUAUUUGAGUUCAUGGAGGAAACCAUAUUGUCCUGUGACACACGUCAUAUAAACUCCAUGCUUUAAGGUUAACACUACAGUCAACAAGGAAUCUUCGAUAAGGACCCUAGGUGGAUGGUGGAAUCAGAAACGGGCCCAGGUAUA